CUUAUCCCUUCCUCUUCCUGGCAGCAGAACAGGCGUUGCCACCAAUUCACCACCCACACACCAUCGAUGCCCUGCACCGACUGCUCCGGCGUUCUUCCAUGCGGGCGAGCAGAGGCACCCCAUGGCGCCACCUCCUCCUCUCCUUCUCCUGCCGCGUGAAGACCUCGACAGAGUGACCUCCAUCGCGUCAUCGAUCUGGCCGCCGCCUUACCUGCGGCUCGAUCUGAUCUGCGAGAGAUGGCGAGGGGUGGGGGCGGCGGAGUAAGGGGAGAGGGAGAGGGAGAUCCGGUGUAGGACUACCACGCUGUUGACUUGCGGCACCCAACCCCGACCACCUCGGCGACUAUGCCUCCUGAAGGACGACCUCCGCCACCUCCCUGCUGCUAAGAAGCGACGAGCCCGCUUCUUGUGCCCCCGCGGAAAUUCCCCUUCAGAUAGUGGAGCGGCAUCGCUCCCAUAGUCUUCAGCAUCAGAUUCGUCACAGAUCCGUUCCCUUUUUCAUGAAGUUGGCUGGGGCUUUGGCCACAUGACAACUUUCAUCUGUAAUAUAGAAGAUAUAAAUCAGUGAAGUUUAUGUCAUACCACUCAUGUUUCGGCACUGUACGAACAAACUUUGAGAACUAUAUUGCCAUCCCAACAGAUGAAGACAUGGAUUACAUAUUAAAAGUGCAUCAAUGUUCUGUCGUUCAACACCAUGUGUGGGUAUAUCAUUGACAACCAAUGGUUUUUUUAUGCCUGAAAAAUACUUCAUUGCUGCAAUAUGAUGCAGGGCUCCUGAUUCCAUGGCGUGCCUUAGUCUUUUGGCGUGCAUAUUUAAAGUUGAGGGAUCUUUUAUUCCAUUUCAAUUUUCUCUGGAAAUCUUCUGCCGGCUCAAGUGCUCAUGUCAAAGAAUAUAGUUGUAUUUUCCUUGGAUUAUUCAUUUGCCUUGCAAUGUUGAAGGAGAAAAGGCAACCGAAUUAUUCGAGGGAUAGAGAUUGUUAACGAAUAGAUCAACUAACUAUUUGCCAUAGAAAUUGCUAUUUGGAGACCUAGUGCAUUUGGAAAGUAUGUAACGACCAAGUCUUUGAUAAUGUACUUCCAAACUUUGGUUGGUGCAGGAUUCCCGUUGUUAGCAGUAGCACCUACACAUAGAACUGUACUGGAGAGUGAAAAGUAAAUUUCUCUUUCACCUUUAACUCAUAACGUUAU